UGUAACUUUAAAUAUUUUAUGCACUAACAAUAGCAAACGAUAAUAUUGCGUAUCAAAACGAAAGAAACCUUUAAAUUUGAAAGUUCGUAAAUUUAAGUUAGUAGCGAUCAAUAUGAAUUAAUGUUAAAGGACAUCAGUCAUUCCUUUAAAUCCAUUCACGAUCCCGUUGCAAGCCAUAAAAAUAAUCAAAAUAGCUCCAAAUCUUUGCAAAAAUAAUAAAAUUACUCCAAAAUGUAAACCGUGCGAAACAAUAGCUCUCUGUGAACCUCCUAGCGCAGAAGUAUUCUGUACUCCUGAUCCUUGUGGAGGCCUUUGUAACGCUUUUUACAGAUCAGCCGAAACCAAUAAGCCUAUAAGAUGCAUUCCUUUCCUUUAAUUAACUAUUCAUUAAUGCUGUAAUUUUUCAUAAAAUAUUUAUUUUUGCCAUUUCUUAUAAUGCGUAAUAUAUUUAUCAUGUUAUUAAUAAUAAAUAUGUUUUUUAGUU